rnacentral:rRNA from 1 species
AUUGAACGCUGGCAGAAUGCUUUACACAUGCAAGUCGAACGGCAGCACGGGGGCAACCCUGGUGGCGAGUGGCGAACGGGUGAGUAAUACAUCGGAACGUGCCCAGUCGUGGGGGAUAACGUAGCGAAAGUUACGCUAAUACCGCAUACGAUCUACGGACGAAAGCGGGGGACCGUAAGGCCUCGCGCGAUUGGAGCGGCCGAUGUCAGAUUAGGUAGGUGGUGAGGUAAAGGCUCCCCAAGCCGACGAUCUGUAGCUGGUCUGAGAGGACGACCAGCCACACUGGGACUGAGACACGGCCCAGACUCCUACGGGAGGCAGCAGUGGGGAAUUUUGGACAAUGGGCGCAAGCCUGAUCCAGCCAUUCCGCGUGCAGGACGAAGGCCUUCGGGUUGUAAACUGCUUUUGUACGGAACGAAAAGGCUCUGGUUAAUACCUGGGGCUCAUGACGGUACCGUAAGAAUAAGCACCGGCUAACUACGUGCCAGCCGCCGCUGUAA